UGAAGUCGGGCGCUUAACCGACUGAGCCACCCAGGAGCCGCAUCUUUUCACAUGCUUUAAGGCGACUUAGGAUGAGGAAAAGUUCCUGAUUGAGUGCCAUCAUAUUUAUCUAUCUACUUUAUCGUAUGGGGAGAUUUGUUUAUUUCUAAGUCCAUCCUGCCCCUUUGCUGAUAUCUUGGAUCCAGUCACAGAGACUUGAGUGAUACCUUCAUUGAAGCAUUUCCAUUCCUGUGUCUUCUCUACCCCAUGGAGAAAUGAGCCUGCCACUUCCAUUUAUCAUAAAAGUCCUUAUUCAAUCAAAAAUAAAACACAAUCAUUGGAUUGGAUUAAUUAGGGUUCAAGAAGGCAGGAAUCCCUGGCAAUGGCUGGAUGGCUCACCCCUAUCUCAGCAGCUGAAUUUCCAACAGAGUUUAUCUCCUGUGAAAUGUGGACACAUGAGACCAUCAACAAUUUAUACCGCUGACUGUAGUAACCAUUUCCGUUACAUUUGUGAAAAGGAGUUCUCUGGCCCUGAUAAUUAAAGAAGUGCUGUGAUCAAAUAUUCACUAUUUUCAUUCUUUAACAGCUGUAAGGAAAAACACAGGGUAUUCACUCAAAUUAGUCAACUACGCGUGGUGUAUGAAGGAUUAUGAUCUUUCACACAUCCCUCAGCAUGGAUAAAAGAGUAAGUUUUAGAAAUAGUAAAAUCAGCCAUCCAAAAAUGAAGCUUUUUUUUUGAAAUUUCAAGAACCAUUCCAUCAGAGAAUGUGAAAAAGUUUGAGUGUAAGACUUUACAUUUAAAAUAUAACUAAAUGAUCUUGAUUUAGAUAGGUAGUGAAUACAUUUGCAAUGUUCACAGUGUAAGAGGUCCUAAACGAUGAACACAUCCUCUCAACCCAUCUUGUAUUCUGUUCACCUAGUUGCCACCUCAGAAGCACACAUGUAACUGGUUUAUAUAGUAUUCCAGAGGUAUUCUAAUGAAAUACAACUAUACACAGGCUGUCUGCUAAACAAAAUGUUAUGUGGCUACAAACGACAGUAACGAUCCUUUAUGUUUCUGUUGAAAAUGUACCAUGCGUGUGUUCCAUAUCAGUACAUAGGUAGCUGUAUUACUUUGUAUAAAUUUCUGCAAAUGUCACACUGAUAAACGUUUUAUUUCCAAUGGACGUCUAGGUUUGUCCCAGAAUUUUAGAAUUGUGUGAAUGAAAGCACUUAAUACAGUAUUACUUGCCAUAGAGCGUAUACAUAGGGUAAAUGUCUAGCAGUGUCAUUUCUAUGUCAAAAUGUGUCCACAUGAAAUUUGCAUACACGUUGAAUUUACAAUAGAUGCUCUACAUCUCUAUCUGCAGUCAGCAGCAUUCAAGAAUUCCUGCUUCCUCUCUUGGUUCCCACUGCAACGUGUUAUCAGUCUGUGAUUUUGCCAAUAAAAUCUUUAGCAAUUAAAAAAAAAUGUUUAUUUGAUUCA